rnacentral:ncRNA from 1 species
UAACAGGCACUGACUGGAAGUAGUAAAAUUGUUUGUCAACUUGUAGAGAGCUAGCGGCUGGUGAAAGCUAGUAGUGACACAAUUUGAACUCGUCCAUGAGCUAUUGUAGCGAAGUCAUAGUAGUUACAAUCGGAGUCGUUCACGUUACCGAACGCUUAAGUUGGGACAAAUUUGUCCAAAUAGAGUGGUACCGCGAGUUCAAGCUCGUCUCUAUC